AAUCCGCAUUUCCGUAUUUCUUAUCUAUCACCUAUCGCCUUUUCUCUCUCUUGCCUCUAUUUCACUUCUCUUCAUUUCUUAUAUUUUGUUAUCAUCAUUUUUCUCUUUAGUGUUGUUAUUUCCCAGCGCUUUUCUCAGCCUUUUUCCUCAGCAUGGUUAACCACCUUGGUAAUCUUGAUUUCUUUCACUUCUGCAUUAUAUUGUUACUCAAAUUCAUAGCUUGAUAAACUUUGAGACUUUUCAGUACUAUGACAACAGAUUUUUUUUUCACACAACCAUUCAACCAUUCAGUUGUUCAGUUCAGCACAAACUGUUGUUUUCCAUGGCAAAUGAUGUGUGACAGUAUUGGUGAUUGGGACUGUGCAGAACGAGGUAGUGCCUGAGUUGGGAGACAAAACCUAUAUAAUUUGAUAGACCGAUACAAACCAAGACACUUUUCUUCUAUGGCAAUAUUUGUGCAAAUACUUCCCUAAGGUGCUAUUCAUAAUUGCACAGAGGUAAGAGCCCAAUUUUGGCUAAGUUGAUCAUCUUGUUUUCAUGUUGAGAGUAAACAUAGGACUGACCGCAUAACUCAUUACUGCGAUGUCCCAAAUAGAAAAUGAUAUUUGGCUAAUUAUCAGUCUGCUGUUACAUGUUUAGCCUUUAAAGCCCUUUAUUAAUGUUAUUAUACUUCAUUUACGUGUUUUAAGAUUUAUCAAUACACUCGUUUUGAAUAGCCAGCGCAUCAUGCAUUUUACAUUUUGUCACCAGCUGCGAGGUUUGACAGUUCGAAGCCGGUCACUCUGUAACAGGUGGCUGGUGAAAAAUGUUGCUUUUCUAGUGUUGUAUUGAUUCUGGAUUAUUCUUAAGACUAUACAUUGGCAAUGAAGAAGAAAUAGAUUUUACGAACCAUCCCAGUUUAAUACCUGAGCCCAUCAAGUGCCUCAAAUGCCAAAAAAUAAAAAAAUAAAAAAAUAAAAUCAAAGCAAUCCAGACCAUAGAAAGAAGCGAACAAAAGUUGGACAUUUCCAGAAAUAAAGGAAAGGGAUGUUUAGUUCGGUCUGCCGAGGAACACAGAGGAGUGCCAGAAACCUUAUUCAGUCUUCCAUUUCCUGCUGUGCCUCAGGUGCUGUGGGAGCUUUCCAUCUUUUGCCACCAGUUGUCGAGAGGAAGCAGCUCCCUCUUACCGCCACAAUGUCUACUGCUCCACCACUCAUUGCUUCAAAGACCCAUGGCAUUGAGAAGAGUGUUUGGUAAGAGAAAUUUGCUUUUUUAAAUUAAUUAUUUAGCCUCAUUCCUGUAAGGUAUUAAAUUUAUGUUGUGACUAUCAAUUUUUGCCCAGAAGAUAAAGUUGGGGAAGAUAUAUUUGAAUACUCCUAAAAAUAGACAGGGCUUUGGAUUGAAGGAACGGUGGAGAGCAAACCAUGAAAUUCAUACACUGGUUUGUUCUCUCAUGCAGCAGGGAGAAGAGAAAAAGAAAAUUUUUUGAUUAAGCCUUUAAUGGCAGCUGU